CUCCAGUGGCUGAUAAACUGCUGUGUCAUUUUCAUCCUGUUUCAGAGCCCUAAUAGAUGCCAAGCAGAUACAGAAAGCUGAACUUCGAGAUAAACGCAGGAGGAAGCAUCAAAGCGUGGAACUAUGCUGUGACUGAUCAUCUCUGGAGUGCGACAUGUUAUCAACUGGGUAGCCUCCUGUUGUUGCUGCACCGGGAAGGAUGGGCUGGUUUCAGACUGCCAGUGUAAAGGGCAGAAAGUGUGGACGGUCAACUGUGAUGGAAAACCCUCCCCUUCAUAAUGGAACCUACAGCAUCUACUGCUGUUAGACCGCCAUGUUUAGACAUCUGCUUUCCCUAAACUGUAGGUGGUGCUGGAGGCCUACUUGUUACAAUGACGACUUGUCUGAAAACUCCUUUUUCAGGAAGCCAGACAAUGUCUGACAGCUGACAAGUGUACAGUAGCAUCCUUUAAAUCUAAGAUAAAAAUGUCACUUUAUAAGCCCAAAAGUGCUGACCAAACAAAACUAAUAAAAAAUUAUCUGGAUCAAUUUAUUGUCACAUUUUUUAAAGCCUGUAUGAGCAGUUUAUUCGUGGAAGAAGCAGGAAAAGAGUAACGCAUCUUCUUAAAACUGUAUAAUUUAUUUAUUGACGUGGAUUUCACUUGUCUGUAUAUCAUAAUCAGGAUUCGGUUCAGCCCAUGGAAUUUCGGAGGGCUAAAAGUGGAGUUGAUUGAUUCCAGACUUCCCAAACUUUGUUUAAAAUCAGUGACAGAAAGUUUUAAAUCCACAGUAGAAUGCUCUUCAUCUGCAAAGAAACUAUAGUUUGAAAGAGAUAAAUAAAAUCAACAAAAAAGUGCAGCUUUUGCUCUCUUUAUACCGGUAUUCAGAUGAGGACAAGAUGGAAGAAGUUUAAGAGAUUUUCAGCUGAAAAGCAAAAAAUAAAUAAAAUAGACCUAAGUGGUUUGUAGAAAGGAUUAAUUUUUUUUUUAAUCCCUGUCAGCAUUGUUUUAUUUCUUGUAUUAUUUUAAAGAACACAGUGACACAGAGCAAUCAGCUCUUAAGCUGUCCUAGUAUAUAGGCCUACACAGGAUUUAUAUUUUUAUUCCCUCCUGAAUUACUUUUAUUUACUUUUUUUUUUGUUCGCUAAUACUGAUGUAAAAAAUGGGACUAAACAGUA